UCUGUGACAUAUUGCUAACAUCAUUUUCAGGUUUGCGAUACUGUCCUUGACAUAAUAUUUCAGCUGAAAAAUUUUCCAUUAUUCUUUAGUUGGAUGGCGACUAGUUCCUUUUGUUUCUCUUUUCUAGAUUCCAGAGGCCACAUUCUUCUCAUCUUCUUCCAUGCUUUAGGAUUUAUCAGAUCUCUUCUGAUGGGUCCCUUAAAAGAAUAAUAAUUGAUGAGAGCACCUUUGUUUGUGUGACUUUUGAUUCACUGGACCUUCUGCUACUGACCUAAAAAUACCAGGGGGCCGGCUGGCAUCAUCCCAGAAUCUCCUUUACUUGUUAUGGAAUAUAUUAAAGCAAGAAAGGAGGUUCAAGUACAGCAGCUGGUUAAAGAGAAAGCUUGCCACUUAGGAAUUAUAGUUCCAGAGGGAAGAAGCUGAUGCUUGCUUAGGAAGAACCCUUCUUUGGUGUGAAGAUGGACCCCACCACUCGUUGGUCCACCAUUUUGAUUUCAUUGUUAAAUUUCUUUUGUUGAGCAGAAGGAUGACAGUAACAAUCUGAUCAGUGGACCUUCCACUCUAUGCUUACUGAUUUGUAUCCAACUAACAGUAUAUUAAAAUUGUAGUAAGUCAACCGCUUGGGAUCUUUUCAUUGGUAAA